GAUGAAGAACGCAGCGAAAUGCGAUAAGUAAUGUGAAUUGCAGAAUUCAGUGAAUCAUCGAAUCUUUGAACGCACAUUGCGCCCCCUGGUAUUCCGGGGGGCAUGCCUGUUCGAGCGUCAUUUCACCACUCAAGCCUCGCUUGGUAUUGGGCAACGCGGUCCGCCGCGUGCCUCAAAUCGACCGGCUGGGUCUUCUGUCCCCUAAGCGUUGUGGAAACUAUUCGCUAAAGGGUGUUCGGGAGGCUACGCCGUAAAACAACCCCAUUUCUAAGGUUGACCUCGGAUCAGGUAGGGAUACCCGCUGAACUUAAGCAUAUCAAUAAGCGAAGGA
rnacentral:misc_RNA from 1 species